rnacentral:rRNA from 1 species
UACGGAGGGUGCAAGCGUUAUCCGGAUUUACUGGGUUUAAAGGGUGCGCAGGCGGAUAUGUAAGUCAGUGGUGAAAUCUCCGGGCUUAACCCGGAAACUGCCGUUGAUACUAUAUAUCUUGAAUGCUGUGGAGGUAAGCAGAAUAUGUCAUGUAGCGGUGAAAUGCUUAGAUAUGACGUAGAAUACCUAUUGCGAAGGCAGCUUACUACACAGAUAUUGACGCUCAUGCACGAAAGCGUGGGGAUCAAACAGG